GACGAACGCUGGCGGCGUGCUUAACACAUGCAAGUCGAACGGAAAGGCCCUGCUUUUGUGGGGUGCUCGAGUGGCGAACGGGUGAGUAACACGUGAGUAACCUGCCCUUGACUUUGGGAUAACUUCAGGAAACUGGGGCUAAUACCGGAUAGGAGCUCCUGCUGCAUGGUGGGGGUUGGAAAGUUUCGGCGGUUGGGGAUGGACUCGCGGCUUAUCAGCUGGUUGGUGGGGUAGUGGCUUACCAAGGCUUUGACGGGUAGCCGGCCUGAGAGGGUGAACGGCCACAUUGGGCCUGAGAUACGGCCCAGACUCCUACGGGAGGCAGCAGUGGGGAAUAUUGCACAGUGGGCGGAAGCCUGAUGCAGCAACGCCGCGUGCGGGAUGACGGCCUUCGGGUUGUAAACCGCUUUCGCCUGUGACGAAGCGUGAGUGACGGUAAUGGGUAAAGAAGCACCGGCUAACUACGUG
rnacentral:rRNA from 1 species